CAGAAAGCCACAAGGAGUAUUGCCAGGGACGAAGGCUUUAAUUGGGUGCUGCAGCUGAGGAGAUGCGGGCUCAGUCUCAAAUCCACCUCCCUGACUGACUAAAACUAGGGGGUUACACAGCUGGGAAGAAAUGUAACCGUGUGCAGGAAAACAGAAACUAGGGAAGGGCAAGGAAGCAAUCAUGGUGAAUGAGGGCUCUGCCAUGUCACUGUCAGCAUGCAGUGAUCUGCUGCUCCAACCAGCCUGGGGCUCAGAGCUCCCACUGAAAAGGCCACUUGCGGGUCCAUAAUCAGGGAUGUCCCCCUUCAGCUGGCCCAAGACCCUUACCAAGUCAUAGAAGACCUCAUGGUGCUGACAAUAUCAUCAGACAGAUAAUGAUGUCCUGAAGAGCAGCUACCAGCAACCUGCGCAUCUCAGCCAGCAAGAAAUUAUAUGUGGACCGUACUCUGGACUGGACUUUGCAAUUUUGCUAGAGUUCUAGGAAGCUAUUUUAGACAGGUCACAGGUCCCUUCCUGGAAUAUAUAUUGCUAUUCUCCUAGAUGGGCCUUCCUUCCCACUUCUCCACCUUUCUCUUACAGAAUCAAUGCAAGAAAAUCCAUUGAGCUAGAGACCACCUUAAGCAUGAAAAAUGUGGAUGCAGCUUGAACCACAGCAUUAGCAGUCUCGAAUAUUUUAACAGUCUCUAGCUCUGCAAUAUCUAAAAUGUGAACUCUGUAACCUGGCAGCCCUAAUCGUGAGCAUGCAUAUCCACUGGAAACAAACACUGCCUUGUUUUUGGUUUUUGUUUUUGUUUUUUCCAUUGCUAUGCAGGGUUUCACACUCCCACGACACUGUGCUUUUGCUCUUUUGAUGGAGCAAACACUCUUUCCAUUUGCUCCACAACGAAGCGUUUCAAAGAUAAAGAUUUAUUAAAAGCCAGAUUGGGGUCAGUGUGAUAGAAAUUGGGGGACAUACUAAGACAGAAGUUUCAGGGACUCCAAUGUCUCCUCCUGUUUGCUUCCCUCAUCAUUAGAAUUGCAGUAUCUAUCGGCCCCCGAAACGCUGCCUGAUUGUGUUUGCUUUCCCUGAUUGGAUGCAAAAUGAAAAACCUUCUUUCUCCAUGGACCGGCUGCUCUCUCCUCUAAUCGACUGCAUGCAUUGAAUCCCAAUUACAGGCUAGGAGCCUGAUGAAUUGACUUCAAGAAUAUUAAUUUAAUGCUUGAAAUGUCAGCAAAUAGAGUGGAGGUAUUAUUCCAGGCCCAGCUUCUUGAAGUCUCCGUUUGACAGAUUGUUUUUAAGGCAGCCUCUGCAUGGGAACACCAACUCCGUAAAGCACUGUGAAGCCAUCUAACAAAGCAAGUGGAAUGCACCCAAACUUUGAAAGCUCAGUCUCUGCUAAGUGGUUGCAUGAGUUGGAAUAAUCAGGCAAAGGGCGAGACAACCUAGAGUCUAGAAAAUGUUGGUGGGUGCCUUCAUGAUUUCGGGAAGCCUUUUCAGCAUGAGCUCUGCUUUGCUUUUUAAAGAUAUUUUAUUUAUUUUAUUUUUUAGAGAGUAAAAGACACACUGUUUUAUUGCAUAGGGUCUCUGGUUAUGAUGCAGACCCCGGAACUAGGUUGCAAUGCCAUAGGCAUAUCUAGAAAUGUGAGUUCACAUCCAUUGAUACCAUAUGCACUUGCAGCUCCCUGUUGGGCUCAGAAAACAAUACCCCACAACGCAGGUCUCCACAGCAGCCUCAGAAGCCAACGUUUCUCUCUGACCAUCUCCUGCCAACUGCCUCUCAGUCCCAUCCUCCCCCGAGGCACCACAGAAACUAGAAUCCCUCUUUCCCAAGGCGGGUCACAGAAACCAGAACCCUUUUUCCCCAACGUGAGCCAUAAAACCUAAAAAUUGGAAGUUAACUUUCCCUCUAUCCUAUCUGCAUAAAGACUGGCCAUAAAGAAAUUCCCUGACCUACCUCGUUUGACUGUAGGUCCUAAGAACCCCCACUCCAGAGAGGGUCCCGCCGCACACCCAGAAGGAAGGAGCGCUGCUCAGAGAGGCAAGAAGAAUCUAGACAGACAGGCCUGGUUGGGUUUCCACUCAGUCCGUUAGCAUUGGAUCAGGCCCUUUUUGUCCAACCCUAUCUCUACAUGGCUGCCCAUACUUUGUUGAAGCAAAGCAUAAAAAUGGACAGCUUCCCCUGUAUCUUUAUGUCUUCAUUCUAAAGGCUCCUCUGUAU
rnacentral:lncRNA from 1 species